AUGAGGGUGCGGAGGGACCGUAUCCUGGAGCACCUGUCCUCUGGCAGGCAUUAUAGGAACCGCCGCCUCCUUAAGCAGCAUGGAGGCCAAACCCCUACCUUUAUAUCAGCAGCCUCAGACCUGAGUAACCACCUCCCUAUACAACUUGAUCCUCCUCCAACCUUGCUUUCUCAGCCUCCCUACGUUUUCCCAGGGGUUCCCUGCCUCACCAACACCAGUGCCAGCGUGGCGCCUUCGCCUCUUUCCUACCCCAAAGCUUUGCUCCCUGCCCACCUCAGUGCCAUCAGCUCUACAGCCAGUGCCGUGCCUGUCAGAGAAGACCGAACUCCAUCUACCUCCACCAGCCACCCUUCUGCAUUCACGACUCUUCGCAUGAGAAGCCCUGCUGGCCCCUCACAACAGAACAACCAAAGGCUUGUGUCAGAAGCCUCCAACAGUGUGGUUUCUGGAAGCGGAGUGGCCUGGCUUCCUAGUGAUGGGGCUUUGGGGAGCAGCCUUGGCCUUGCUCUCUUUGGUGUGGGCCAUGGGAGCAAGGCAUUGUUUCAGAGCUUAGUGGAAGAAGACAGCUGCUGCUUGCUCUAUGUUGUUGAAAAUCAGCUGUCAGGGGUCGAGCAGGCCUUCAGAUCAGACCGUUUGGUGAACACCCGCGUGCUUCGGGAACAAGAUGCUGACUUGUACUUAACGAUCAGCGGUAUGGUUACCAGAAACUCCAGGGCGUGCUUGUUCCUGGGGCUGUGAGGGUGCCAUUGCCUCUUGUGGUCAGUGGCAUUUCCGGGGACCGGACCAAACCGAGUCCUGGGAGUCAGCAUUUCUUACUCUUUAUUCACUUGUAAUCUGGCUGCUAAACCAACAGAUCAGGAUUGGUCCUCUUGUCAGUGGUCUCAAUUCCCUGUGGCUCCCAAAGACCACUCUUUGAGCAGUGGAGAUGCAGCUUAGCAGAUUCUCUGUUAUUCAUGGAGCUGUCAUGGGGCCAGCAGUGAAUCAGGACCCCCUGCCCAAUUUUUUGGCCUGUCUGACUGUGCCAGUGUAGCUAUAGAUCCAGCCUGUGCCAUUGGCUUCUCUGUGCCUUAUUUCCUUCUUUUCUUGGCCUGUCACAUUUUGAGAUUUAGUAGAAACAAUAAGUCCCACCUUGUCUUUAGUAUUGGAUGUAAGUAUUCUGAAAAUCCUCAGCUGAAAGGUGAUAUAUAAAUGUAAAGAAUAAUUAUUGACCGAAAACAGUGAUAAUGAAGUUUUUAAUACAACAGUUCUUUUUUUUGCCCCCUUUCACUCAAAAAGAUCAAUGUUUCAGAUUGGAUCAGAGUACAUACAUAGAGUCAACCUGCUUCUCUCCUCUCUCUUCUCUCAUUCUUUUUGUCGUGUGUGUGUGUGUGUGUGUGUGUGUGUGUGUGUGUGUAUGUGUAUGUGUGGGUGUGUGGGUGUGUAUAGACAGGUAUAAAAAGUUAUAUAUUUGGGCAGCUAGGUGGCGCAGUGGAUAAAGCAUUGGUGCUGAAGUCAGAAGGACCUGAAUUCAAAUGUGGCCUCAGAUCAAACAAUUCACACUUACUAGCUGUGUGACCCUGGGCAAGUCACUUAACCCCAGUUGCCUAAAGAAAAAAAAAGUUUUAUAUAUAUGUGUGUGUGUUGUGUAUCACUUUUUAUAAUUGCCAGCUCCACCCCCAUUGAACCCCCCCUUUUAACAAAGAAAGCCAUUUAAGCAAAAUCUGCUGAUGCAUCAGUUGUCCUCCUCACCUUCCACAUC
rnacentral:lncRNA from 1 species